AUUGAACGCUAGCGGGAUGCCUUACACAUGCAAGUCGAACGGAGUGGCGAACGGGUGAGUAAUGUAUCGGAACGAGCCCAGUAGCGGGGGAUAACUACCCGAAAGCGUAGCUAAUUCCGCAUACUAUCGGUCCGGUCGAUAUCGGUUGAGCUAGUUGGUGGGGUAACGGCUCACCAAGGUGGCGAUCCGUAGCUGGUUUGAGGGGACGACCAGCCACACUGGGACUGAGACACGGCCCAGAGUCCUACGGGAGGCAGCAGUGGGGAAUUUUGGACAAUGGGGGAAACCCUGAUCCAGCCAUCCCGCGUGUGCGAUGAAGGCCUUCGGGUUGUAAAGCACUUUUGGCAGGAAAGCGGUACCUGCAGAAUAAGCACCGGCUAACUACGUGCCAGCAGCCGCGGUAAUUC
rnacentral:rRNA from 1 species